AUGGCUCAGAUUGAACGCUGGCGGAAUGCUUUACACAUGCAAGUCGAACGGCAGCACGGGGCAACCUGGUGGCGAGUGGCGAACGGGUGAGUAAUACAUCGGAACGUGCCCAAUCGUGGGGGAUAACGUAGCGAAAGUUACGCUAAUACCGCAUACGAUCUACGGAUGAAAGCGGGGGAUCGCAAGACCUCGCGCGAGUGGAGCGGCCGAUGUCAGAUUAGGUAGUUGGUGGGGUAAAGGCUCACCAAGCCAACGAUCUGUAGCUGGUCUGAGAGGACGACCAGCCACACUGGAACUGAGACACGGUCCAGACUCCUACGGGAGGCAGCAGUGGGGAAUUUUGGACAAUGGGCGCAAGCCUGAUCCAGCCAUUCCGCGUGCAGGAUGAAGGCCUUCGGGUUGUAAACUGCUUUUGUACGGAACGAAACGGCGAGCUCUAAUACAGUUUGCUAAUGACGGUACCGUAAGAAUAAGCACCGGCUAACUACGUG
rnacentral:rRNA from 1 species